rnacentral:rRNA from 1 species
ACGGGGGGGGCAAGCGUUGUUCGGAAUUACUGGGCGUAAAGCGCACGUAGGUGGUCUGUUAUGUCAGAUGUGAAAGCCCUCGGCUUAACUGAGGAAGUGCACCUGAAACUGGCAGGCUUGAGUACGAAAGAGGGUCGCGGAAUUCCCGGUGUAGAGGUGAAAUUCGUAGAUAUCGGGAGGAACACCGGUGGCGAAGGCGGCGACCUGGUUCGAUACUGACACUGAGGUGCGAAAGCGUGGGGAGCAAACAGGA